AUUGAACGCUGGCGGCAUGCCUUACACAUGCAAGUCGAACGGCAGCACGGGAGCAAUCCUGGUGGCGAGUGGCGAACGGGUGAGUAAUAUAUCGGAACGUGCCCAGUCGUGGGGGAUAACGUAGCGAAAGCUACGCUAAUACCGCAUACGAUCUAUGGAUGAAAGCGGGGGAUCGCAAGACCUCGCGCGAUUGGAGCGGCCGAUAUCAGAUUAGGUAGUUGGUGGGGGUAAAAAGCCCACCAAGCCGACGAUCUGUAGCUGGUCUGAGAGGACGACCAGCCACACUGGGACUGAGACACGGCCCAGACUCCUACGGGAGGCAGCAGUGGGGAAGUUUGGACAAUGGGCGGAAGCCUGAUCCAGCCAUGCCGCGUGAGUGAAGAAGGCCC
rnacentral:rRNA from 1 species